rnacentral:rRNA from 1 species
UACGAAGGGUGCAAGCGUUAAUCGGAAUUACUGGGCGUAAAGCGUGCGUAGACGGCCUGUUAAGUCGGAUGUGAAAGCCCCGGGCUCAACCUGGGGAUGGCAUCCGAUACUGGUGGGCUGGAGUGCGGUAGAGGAGAGCGGAAUUCCCGGUGUAGCGGUGAAAUGCGUAGAGAUCGGGAGGAACAUCCGUGGCGAAGGCGGCUCUCUGGACCAGCACUGACGUUGAGGCACGAAAGCGUGGGGAGCAAACAGG